rnacentral:rRNA from 1 species
UACGGAGGGUGCGAGCGUUGUCCGGAAUCACUGGGCGUAAAGGGCGCGUAGGUGGCGCCGCAAGUCAACGGUGAAAGCUCGACGCUUAACGUCGAGUCGGCCGUCGAGACUGCGGGGCUCGAGCACUGUAGAGGCUCAUGGAAUUCCGGGUGUAGCGGUGGAAUGCGUAGAGAUCCGGAAGAACACCGGUGGCGAAGGCGGUGAGCUGGGCCGGUACUGACACUGAGGAGCGAAAGCGUGGGGAGCGAACAGG